UACGAGGGGGGCGAGCGUUGUUCGGAAUUACUGGGCGUAAAGCGUGUGUAGGCGGCUAGGUAAGUCGGAUGUGAAAGCCCCGGGCUCAACUCGGGAAGUGCACUCGAUACUGCUUAGCUCGAGUACCGGAGAGGUUGGUGGAAUUCUCGGUGUAGAGGUGAAAUUCGUAGAUAUCGAGAGGAACACCGGUGGCGAAGGCGGCCAACUGGACGAGUACUGGCGCUGAGACACGAAAGCGUGGGGAGCAAACAGG
rnacentral:rRNA from 1 species